AAAUUGAAGAGUUUGAUCAUGGCUCAGAUUGAACGCUGGCGGCAGGCCUAACACAUGCAAGUCGAACGGUAACAGAAAGCAGCUUGCUGCUUUGCUGACGAGUGGCGGACGGGUGAGUAAUGUCUGGGAAACUGCCUGAUGGAGGGGAUAACUACUGGAAACGGUAGCUAAUACCGCAUAACGUCGCAAGACCAAAGAGGGGGACCUUCGGGCCUCUUGCCAUCGGAUGUGCCCAGAUGGGAUUAGCUAGUAGGUGGGGUAAAGGCUCACCUAGGCGACGAUCCCUAGCUGGUCUGAGAGGAUGACCAGCCACACUGGAACUGAGACACGGUCCAGACUCCUACGGGAGGCAGCAGUGGGGAAUAUUGCACAAUGGGCGCAAGCCUGAUGCAGCCAUGCCGCGUGUAUGAAGAAGGCCUUCGGGUUGUAAAGUACUUUCAGCGGGGAGGAAGGGAGUAAAGUUAAUACCUUUGCUCAUUGACGUUACCCGCAGAAGAAGCACCGGCUAACUCCGUGCCAGCAGCCGCGGUAAUACGGAGGGUGCAAGCGUUAAUCGGAAUUACUGGGCGUAAAGCGCACGCAGGCGGUUUGUUAAGUCAGAUGUGAAAUCCCCGGGCUCAACCUGGGAACUGCAUCUGAUACUGGCAAGCUUGAGUCUCGUAGAGGGGGUAGAAUUCCAGGUGUAGCGGUGAAAUGCGUAGAGAUCUGGAGGAAUACCGGUGGCGAAGGCGGCCCCCUGGACGAAGACUGACGCUCAGGUGCGAAAGCGUGGGGAGCAAACAGGAUUAGAUACCCUGGUAGUCCACGCCGUAAACGAUGUCGACUUGGAGGUUGUGCCCUUGAGGCGUGGCUUCCGGAGCUAACGCGUUAAGUCGACCGCCUGGGGAGUACGGCCGCAAGGUUAAAACUCAAAUGAAUUGACGGGGGCCCGCACAAGCGGUGGAGCAUGUGGUUUAAUUCGAUGCAACGCGAAGAACCUUACCUGGUCUUGACAUCCACGGAAGUUUUCAGAGAUGAGAAUGUGCCUUCGGGAGCCGUGAGACAGGUGCUGCAUGGCUGUCGUCAGCUCGUGUUGUGAAAUGUUGGGUUAAGUCCCGCAACGAGCGCAACCCUUAUCCUUUGUUGCCAGCGGUCCGGCCGGGAACUCAAAGGAGACUGCCAGUGAUAAACUGGAGGAAGGUGGGGAUGACGUCAAGUCAUCAUGGCCCUUACGACCAGGGCUACACACGUGCUACAAUGGCGCAUACAAAGAGAAGCGACCUCGCGAGAGCAAGCGGACCUCAUAAAGUGCGUCGUAGUCCGGAUUGGAGUCUGCAACUCGACUCCAUGAAGUCGGAAUCGCUAGUAAUCGUGGAUCAGAAUGCCACGGUGAAUACGUUCCCGGGCCUUGUACACACCGCCCGUCACACCAUGGGAGUGGGUUGCAAAAGAAGUAGGUAGCUUAACCUUCGGGAGGGCGCUUACCACUUUGUGAUUCAUGACUGGGGUGAAGUCGUAACAAGGUAACCGUAGGGGAACCUGCGGUUGGAUCACCUCCUUACCUUAAAGAAGC
rnacentral:rRNA from 1 species